ensembl:lncRNA
CUGAUUUCAUACAUUGGAAAGUUUGAUGAAUAGAGCCUUGUGAGAGGCAACUCUUGAGCGCUGCACUAUUACCGAAAGCUUUGCUGGGGAUUAGAGAGAAGACAGAAGCUUUCAUUCCUUCAAAAUCCAAGUCUUCAAGAACCAGUAUUGCUUGUGGCUCUGACUGUGGGAGGUUGCAUAGAGGCAAAGACACCUGUGUUAAGAGAAUCCAGAAGUUCAAAGAUGGAUUGAUGGAGAGAGUGAGAGGGGCAGCAGUGAGAGAUGAGUCAGAGAUUUAGUCCAGAGUGGAGGCAUGCAGUGCCUGGUAGGAGCAGAGCAUGACUUUGUUGUUGAUUCAGUCUAGUGCAAGACGCCAACAGUCUUAGUAAAUUGUUGUUUGGGAACAAAAAAGGAAGAAAAAAAACUUGACAUUUCUUAUAAAGACCAAAUUUUAACAUAAAUUGAAGGCUGUCUUGUAUUUCCAUGUAUUCCCCCUGUUAGGUAGCCUGAAGUUUUGAGAAGAAGCUUUGCAACUACAAGCUUUAGUAUUCAGAAAAACACACUGAGGUGAUAAAAGUUAGUGCUAAACUAUCCCACAUUACAAUUAGUCUGCUUUAG